GUUCGCUCACAGGGAGUGGAGUGUGUAGGGGAUGUGUUAUGUGUUAUUGUAGAGGAUCUAAUAUGUGUGCUUAUGGUAUGUAGUGUAUAGGGUUACCAGUUUGUGCAGGUGAUGUAGUGUGUUUGUGUGUAGUGGAAGCAGUGUGUAUUUGUGUAUAAGGGAUGUAUUAUGUGUUUCUGGUUGUGUGUAAGGGAUGCAUUGUGUGAAUCUGUGUUUGUAUGCAUAAGGGAUGCAAGGUGUGUGUCUGUAUGUGUGUGCAUUGAGUGUAAGAGAUGCAUUGUGUUUCUGUGUGUAUGUAAGAAAAGAAGUGUGUGUGUUUGCAUAUGUGUGUACGGGUUUGCAUUGUCUGUUUCUGUGUAUGUGUGCAAAGGAUGCAUUGUCUUUGUGUGUAAGGGUUGCA
rnacentral:lncRNA from 1 species